GGAAUAUUGCACAAUGGGGGAAACCCUGAUGCAGCGACGCCGCGUGAGUGAAGAAGUAUUUCGGUAUGUAAAGCCCUAUCAGCAGGAAAGAAAAUGACGGUACCUGACUAAGAAGCCCCGGCUAACUACGUGCCAGCAGCCGCGGUAAUACGUAGGGGGCAAGCGUUAUCCGGAUUUACUGGGUGUAAAGGGAGCGUAGACGGUGAAGCAAGUCUGAAGUGAAAGGCGGGGGCUCAACCCCCGGACUGCUUUGGAAACUGUUUGACUGGAGUGUCGGAGAGGUAAGCGGAAUUCCUAGUGUAGCGGCGAAAUGCGUAGAUAUUAGGAGGAACACCAGUGGCGAAGGCGGCUUACUGGACGAUAACUGACGCUGAGGCUCGAAAGCGUGGGGAGCAAAC
rnacentral:rRNA from 1 species